rnacentral:lncRNA from 1 species
UGGGGUUUAAGCUCAUAAGAUAUACAAGGUCUAUUUUCAUAUUCAUAUAUAUUCAUCUCAAUCUCAAGCAAUAGUAUAAAAGUAAAUUUCUAAUUCAUUUAUCCAAUAAAAAUGGUUCACGAGGUUUAAUGAGAAUAAAACAAUAUUUAUUUCAGAAACAUAAUAAAGAACAUGCAUCUAGGAUUCUAUGCUCCUCAAGCCUCAUAUAUUAUUCUUGAUUUAAAAAAUAAAAUAAAAUAUAGGAGUAGGCUUAUAGGUUCUAUAAAUUACUAGAACCUCUAAUUCAAUUAAGUAUUUUG